rnacentral:lncRNA from 12 species
UUAAACCUGAGCUGAACUCUGCUCUGGCAAGACUGCUGCUGAAAGCUGAGCGAGGCUGUUUCAAGCCAGCCUGUUAGAAGAGACGCGCCUUUAUUUGCGGUCUGUCUCAACGCUUGUCCCUGCAGGAGCUGCCCCAACCAUUCAUCAAGAUUUAUAAAUCACACUGAAAAUUUGGAUAAGGACAGCCACAUCAGCCAUCUUCAACCACUAGCAUAUAUAUGUACAGAAGUAAGCAAUUCUAUGCUCUGAGCUUCAG